rnacentral:rRNA from 1 species
GCUUACACAUGCAAGUCGAACGGUAACAGAGGAUAGCUUGCUAUUUUGCUGACGAGUGGCGGACGGGUGAGUAAUGCUUGGGAAUUUGCCUGAUGGUGGGGGACAACAGUUGGAAACGACUGCUAAUACCGCAUAAUGUCUACGGACCAAAGGUGGCCUCUAUUUAUAUGCUAUCGCUAUCAGAUGAGCCCAAGUGGGAUUAGCUAGUUGGUAAGGUAAUGGCUUACCGAGGCGACGAUCCCUAGCUGGUCUUAGAGGAUGACCAGCCACACUGGAACUGAGACACGGUCCAGACUCCUACGGGAGGCAGCAGUGGGGAAUAUUGCACAAUGGGGGGAACCCUGAUGCAGCCAUGCCGCGUGUGUGAAGAAGGCUUUCGGGUUGUAAAGCACUUUCAGCGAGGAGGAAAGGGUGUUGCCUAAUACGUAACACCUGUGACGUUACUCGCAGAAGAAGCACCGGCUAACUCCGUGCCAGCAGCCGCGGUAAUACGGAGGGUGCAA